GAUACUUUGUUGGGUAGCCUGUGUUAUUUGUAGCUGUCUUCUAGUUCGUUGCUACCAUUUUGUAGAAGAAAAUGUUUUGAAGAAAAACAGUUUUCAAGAAAGUUUAAUGGCCUUAAGAACCAGAAARGCAUUGCCCACAUUGUUUAUUUCAGUGUUGGUGCUAACAGCCUGGGGGUUCGUACUGUAUGCUGGGUUUAAAGUUGCAGUUUCAAUGGUUUCUUGAGGCAUGUUCCGAGGAGUUAUUUAUGGAGAUAUGAUGUUAGCAACUUUAUGUUYACACUACAGAUACAAUCAAUUAGCCUGGAUCAAGCUGUUGUAUCCUGCAGUAUCAAGGACAACCACAACCUAGAUUUCAUUCUUGGUGUUUGGUUACUGUAUUUCAUCUACUUGAUGAAGCCUUUACAGCUUUUAGCAGCAUUGGAGCAUUAUUUGAACUCCCAGUGAUUGUUUUAUUUUAAAAACUGAAACUUUUGGCUUUUUAUGAUUUAAGACAUUACAUUGACAACUUCAGAACCCUUAUUAURCCAUCAAAAAUGUUCAUUUAAAAAACCAUAACACAGGAAGCAAACAGUGAUUAAAAAAACACGACAUGCAGUAUGUAAACUUUGUAUCAUCUUUUAUAUGACAAAAAAAUUUGUAAUAGGGAAUUUGUAAAAGUCAAUAAAAUUUCUUAUGAAUAGUUCCCUCUAACAGAUUUUUUUAAUAUUUUGACUUAAGUUUUUGAAAAAAUAAACCAAAGCCAAAUGCAAAAUUUGAAGAACUUUUAUUGCACAGAUUUGAGUUUUUUUUUUCAGUUUGAAUAUAAAAAUGUUUGAGGAGAUAAGCAAGUUGCAAGUUCAAAUGCAAUGCCUCAUAGGAUCGACCCUAUAGAGCAUGAGCUCAAGGACCAUUUCAAGUCUUUUUGAAUGAAAUUUAGGACCAUUUCAAGCCUUCUUGAAAUUUAGGCAAAGCUAAACUUGACCUGAGUAGCAGCGAACAAUCUACAAUAGCCACUGUUUACAUUCAUUGUCUGGCCAUCUAUGUAGGCGGAACACCUAUCAAAAAACAUUCUGGUCAUCAUGCUAGACAAGCAUUAUCUUUGGUCAUCAGCAAGGCCAAGCUAAACUGAAGAUAAAUAGAUAGAUAGAAACCCUAGGGUUAGGGUUAGGGUUAAGGUUUAGGGUUAGGGUUAGGUUAGGGUUAGGGUUAGGGUUAGGGAGAAACACUCUACUAAUAGGGGACACCUAACCGAUAUAAAAAUUUAUAAAAAUGUACAAUAUAUAUAACUAAAUAAAAUGAUUCAAAAGUAUAAAUUGUUCUAAAAUAAAAAUUCUAAAAUAUGA